GAUGAACGCUAGCUACAGGCUUAACACAUGCAAGUCGAGGGGUAACGAGAGGAAAGCUUGCUUUCCUUGUCGACGACCGGCGCACGGGUGAGUAACGCGUAUCCAACCUGCCCCCAACUAGGGAAUAACCUUGCGAAAGUAAGACUAAUACCCUAUAAUUUCCUCAGAUGUCAUCUGACGAGGAAUAAAGAUUUAUCGGUUGUGGAUGGGGAUGCGUCUGAUUAGCUUGUUGGCGGGGUAACGGCCCACCAAGGCAACGAUCAGUAGGGGUUCCGAGAGGAAGGUCCCCCAGAUUGGAACUGAGAAACGGUCCAAACUCCUACGGGAGGCAGCAGUAAGGAAUAUUGGUCAAUGGGCGGAAGCCUGAACCAGCCAAGUAGCGUGCAGGAUGACGGCCCUAUGGGUUGUAAACUGCUUUUAUACAGGAAUAAAGUUAGCCACGUGUGGUUAUUUGUAGGUACUGUAUGAAUAAGGACCGGCUAAUUCCGUGCCAGCCGCCGCAGUAA
rnacentral:rRNA from 1 species